rnacentral:rRNA from 1 species
GAUGAACGCUGGCGGCGUGCCUAAUACAUGCAAGUAGAACGCUGAAGGAGGAGCUUGCUCUUCUGGAUGAGUUGCGAACGGGUGAGUAACGCGUAGGUAACCUGCCUGGUAGCGGGGGAUAACUAUUGGAAACGAUAGCUAAUACCGCAUGACAACAGUUAUUGCAUGAUAACUGUUUAAAAGGGGCAACUGCUCCACUACCAGAUGGACCUGCGUUGUAUUAGCUAGUUGGUGAGGUAACGGCUCACCAAGGCGACGAUACAUAGCCGACCUGAGAGGGUGAUCGGCCACACUGGGACUGAGACACGGCCCAGACUCCUACGGGAGGCAGCAGUAGGGAAUCUUCGGCAAUAGACGGAAGUCUGACCGAGCAACGCCGCGUGAGUGAAGAAGGUUGUCGGAUCGUAAAGCUCGGUUGUAAGAGAAGAACGAGUGUGAGAGUGGAAAGUUCACACUGUGACGGUAUCUUACCAGAAAGGGACGGCUAACUACGUG